rnacentral:lncRNA from 1 species
AGCUUCAAAAUAAGAACAAAAGAUCUCAGUAUGCCAACAUCGCCACUUUCGAGACUAUUUCACCAUCUCAGUCAUCAUCUCAUGCUAUCAAUACUAUCCCCGAGUCAGGUAAAACCACUAAGUGUCUCCUCUUUUCGUCAUCCGAAUUGGUCAUUGAUUCUGGUGCCACAGAUCAUAUGACAUGUAACUCUAAACUCUUUUCCACUUUUCAAUCACAUACCCAAUGUUCCAAAGUUACUUUAGUCGAUGGGUCUACCUCAUAUAUUUAGGGUAUGACACUGUUAACCCAACAUCUUCUCUUUCCUUAGUUCCGUCUUAAAUUUUCCGGAUUUUUCUUUCAAUCUAAUAUCUGUGAGUAAACUUACUCGUACUCUAAAUUAUUGUGUCUCAUUUUUUCCCAAUUAUUGUCUUUUUCAGGAUCUUUCGACGAAGCAAAUUAUUGGUAAAGGUUCUGAGUCUGGGGUCUCUAUGUUCUUGAAUCACAGGUGCCGAAAUCCAUUUCUUGUUCAACUGUGUUGUCUCCCUUUGACGUACAUUGUCGAUUGGGUCAUC